rnacentral:rRNA from 1 species
GUAGGGACCAAGCGUUGUUCGGAUUUACUGGGCGUAAAGGGCGCGUAGGCGGCGUGUUAAGUCAGCUGUGAAAUCUCCGAGCUUAACUCGGAACGGUCAGCUGAUACUGAUGUGCUAGAGUGCAGAAGGGGCAAUCGGAAUUCUUGGUGUAGCGGUGAAAUGCGUAGAUAUCAAGAGGAACACCUGAGGUGAAGACGGGUUGCUGGGCUGACACUGACGCUGAGGCGCGAAAGCCAGGGGAGCAAACGGGAUUAGAUACCCCGGUAGUCCUGGCCCUAAACGAUGAAUACUUGGUGUCUGGAGUUAUUAUUGCUCCGGGUGCCGUCGCUAACGUUUUUAGUAUUCCGCCUGGGGAGUACGCACGCAAGUGUG